rnacentral:rRNA from 1 species
GACGAACGCUGGCGGCGUGCCUAAUACAUGCAAGUCGAGCGGACUUUCAAGAAGCUUGCUUUUUGAAAGUUAGCGGCGGACGGGUGAGUAACACGUGGGCAAUCUGCCUGCAAGACGGGGAUAACUCCGGGAAACCGGGGCUAAUACCGGAUAAUAUCUUCCUUCGCAUGAAGGAAGGUUGAAAGGCGGCGCAAGCUGCCGCUUGCAGAUGGGCCCGCGGCGCAUUAGCUAGUUGGUGAGGUAACGGCUCACCAAGGCGACGAUGCGUAGCCGACCUGAGAGGGUGAUCGGCCACACUGGGACUGAGACACGGCCCAGACUCCUACGGGAGGCAGCAGUAGGGAAUCUUCCGCAAUGGACGAAAGUCUGACGGAGCAACGCCGCGUGAGCGAAGAAGGUCUUCGGAUCGUAAAGCUCUGUUGUCAGGGAAGAACAAGUACCGUUCGAACAGGGCGGUACCUUGACGGUACCUGACCAGAAAGCCACGGCUAACUACGUG